rnacentral:rRNA from 1 species
UGGGGAAUAUUGGACAAUGGGCGAAAGCCUGAUCCAGCAAUGCCGCGUGAGUGAUGAAGGCCUUAGGGUUGUAAAGCACUUUUAUCAGGAGCGAAAUCUGCAGGGCUAAUACCCAUGCAGUCUGACGGUACCUGAGGAAUAAGCACCGGCUAACUCCGUGCCAGCAGCCGCGGUAAUACGGAGGGUGCAAGCGUUAAUCGGAAUUACUGGGCGUAAAGCGUGCGUAGGCGGUUCGUUAAGUCUGCUGUGAAAGCCCCGGGCUCAACCUGGGAAUGGCAGUGGAUACUGGCGAGCUAGAGUGUGAUAGAGGAUGGUGGAAUUCCCGGUGUAGCGGUGAAAUGCGUAGAGAUCGGGAGGAACAUCAGUGGCGAAGGCGGCCAUCUGGAUCAACACUGACGCUGAGGCACGAAAGCGUGGGGAGCAAACA